rnacentral:rRNA from 1 species
UACGUAGGGUGCGAGCGUUAAUCGGAAUUACUGGGCGUAAAGCGUGCGCAGGCGGUUCGUUGUGUCGGCGGUGAAAGCCCCGGGCUCAACCUGGGAAUGGCCGUUGAAACUGGCGAACUGGAGUGUGGCAGAGGGGGGUGGAAUUCCGCGUGUAGCAGUGAAAUGCGUAGAGAUGCGGAGGAACACCGAUGGCGAAGGCAGCCCCCUGGGCUGACACUGACGCUCAGGCACGAAAGCGUGGGGAGCGAUCCGG